CUUUAUUCUAGUCUCCUCCAUCAGGCUCCUUCUCUCCUUUAUUCUAGUCUCCUCCAUCAGGCUCCUCCUCUCCUCUCUUCUAGUCUCCUCCAUCAGUCUCCUCCUCUACUCUCUUCUAGUUUCAUCCAUCAGGCUCCUCCUCUCCUUUAUUCUAGUCUCCUCCAUCAAUCUCCUCCUCUCCUCUCUUCUAGUCUCCUCCAUCAGGCUCCUCCUCUCCUUUAUUCUAGUCUCCUCCAUCAGUCUCCUCCUCUCCUUUAUUCUAGUCUCCUCCAUCAGGCUCCUCCUCUCCUUUAUUCUUGUCUCCUCCAUCAGUCUCUUCCUCUCCUUUAUUCUAGUCUCCUACAUCAGUCUCCUCCUCUCCUCUCUUCUAGUCUCUUCCAUCAUGCUCCUCCUCUCCUGUCUUCUAGUCACCUUCAUCAGUUUCCUCCUCUCCUCUAUUCUAGUCUCCUCCAUAAGUCUCCUCUCCUGUCUUCUCUCUCUCCUCCUUCUCCUGUCUCCUCUCCAGUCACAUACAUAGCCAUGAAAUUCUUUGAAAGGCUGGUACCAUUCGCGUACCGCCACAACAGAUCCACAGAUUAUGCCAUCGCUAUUGCACGCCCCUAUGCCCUCUUCCACCUGAACAAAAGGAAGACCUACGUGAGAAUGCUAUUCAUUGACUACAGCUCAGCUUUCAACACCAUAAUGCCCUCCAAGCUCAUCACUAAGCUAAGGACCCUGGGACUGAACACCUUCCUCUACAACUGGAUUAUUUACUUCUUGAUGCCCCCAAGUGGUGAAGGUAGGCAACAACUCAUCUGCCACGCUGACCCUCAACAUGGGGGCUCCUCAGGGGUGCUUGCCCUCUCUCACUCUCUCACUCGCUACCCCACCUGCAGUCUCGACCUCUGAAUGCUCGGUUAUGAAUGCCAACGUACAUUUCCUCCUGAGGUGCUGACCUGUUUCUCCCUCUAUAACCACUGUGAUUAUUAUUUGACCCUGCUGGUCGUCUAUGAACAUUUGAACAUCUUGAAGAACGAUCUAGCCUUAAUGGCCAUGUACUCUUAUAUUCUCCACCCGGCACAGCAAGAAGAGGUCUGAACACUACUCAGACCCUGGUUCCUCUCCAGGUUUCUUCCUAGGUUCUGGCCUUUCUAGGCAGUUUUUCCUAGCCACCGUGCUUCUACACCUGCAUUACUUGCUGUUUGGGGUUUUAGGCUGGGUUUCUGUACAGCACUUUGAGAUAUCAGCUGAGUACCCAUGACCGUGUGUCCACACUCCAACACCAUCAUUACGUUUUCUGACGACAUGACAGUGGUAGGCCUGAUCACAGGCGACAAUGAGAUAGGAGGGGAGAGAGUAGAGAGGG
ensembl:lncRNA